UACGGGGGGGGCAAGCGUUGUUCGGAAUUACUGGGCGUAAAGGGCUCGUAGGCGGCCAACUAAGUCAGACGUGAAAUCCCUCGGCUUAACCGGGGAACUGCGUCCGAUACUGGCAGGCUUGAAUCCGGGAGAGGGAUGUGGAAUUCCAGGUGUAGCGGUGAAAUGCGUAGAUAUCUGGAGGAAUACCGGUGGCGAAGGCGGCAUUCUGGACGACAUCAGACGCUGAGACGCGACAGCACGGGGAGCGAACGGG
rnacentral:rRNA from 1 species